GCCGGCAGUCAGGAGAUACGAACCCCUCCUUUAUUUCCCAGCGCUUCUCGCAGCACUUUUCCUGCGCGCUGUGAGCCGAAGGGUUCUGCUUUCCAUGCGGGGCCCCCGCGGUGCUCUCAGUGCCACAUCGCAGUGUGUGUCCCUAUUGGGGCGGCUGCAGCACCGCUGUGAGCUCCCGCUGCUCCCCGCUCAGUGCCUGCCACGCCGCCCUCCGCUCCGCGAUGCGGCGCUGCAGCGCUGCGAUCCGCUCCCUCCCCUGCAGCACCGCCGCCGCCGCGGCGCUGUUGUCCCUUUGGCUGUCGCUCAGCGCGCGGCGCAGAAAGCAGCGCUGCUUCAGCAGAUACGGCACGAGGGCACUGCGCGCGUCCGCCUCCGGGAUGCCGCUGGGCCGCCAGGCCGGCUCCUCGCAGCCCCGCGACUCCUCCACGAUGGCAUCCAAUGCCCGGAACAGCUCCUCCAGGUUCCCCUCCUUCUUCACCUCCUGGAUCUCCUCC
rnacentral:lncRNA from 1 species